rnacentral:misc_RNA from 1 species
CUUUUAGGGAGACCUACCCAACUUUGAAAUCGAGGACACACAGUUAAUAGAUACAAAGAUGGUCAUUCCUAGGUCGGUCGAGAUUGGUAAAUAGCUUUCAAAGUAUUAUUGGUUCAGUAAAUAAGGAGAAAAAUUCAGCAAAGUGACAUUAAUAAUGUCAGACUGCUGGGUUAGUUAUCCAGCCAGAACCUUGAAAACUGCAUAGGAAUGCGAAGCAGGCAGACACAGACAUUGAUUAUUGGAAGUGUUUGCAAUGAAUAGU